rnacentral:rRNA from 1 species
AGAGUUUGAUCCUGGCUCAGGAUGAACGCUGGCGGCGUGCCUAACACAUGCAAGUCGAACGAAGAGGCCCCUUCGGGGGUACUUCAGUGGCGGACGGGUGAGUAACACGUAGGCGACCUGCCCCGAAGCAGGGAAUAACGGCUCGAAAGGGCCGCUAAUACCCAAAAGGGUCGCGUGUCAAAGCGCGAUCAGAGUUACGGCGUUUCGGGAGGGGCCUGCGGCCCAUCAGCUAGUUGGUAGGGUAAUGGCCUACCAAGGCGACGACGGGUAGGGGGCCUGAGAGGGUGAUCCCCCACAUUGGCACUGACACACGGGCCAAACUCCUACGGGAGGCAGCAGUGAGGAAUAUUGCGCAAUGAGCGAAAGCUAGACGCAGCAACGCCGCGUGGACGAUGAAGGCCUUCGGGUCGUAAAGUCCUUUUCAGGGGGACGAGAGAGGACGGUACCCCUGGAAUAAGUCACGGCUAACUACGUGCCAGCAGCCGCGGUAAAACGUAGGUGGCGAGCGUUAUCCGGAUUCACUGGGCGUAAAGCGCCUGCAGGCGGUCUCGUAAGUGGGAUGUGAAAUCUCCUGGCUUAACUGGGAGGGGCCAUUCCAUACUGCGGGACUUGAGGGCAGAAGAGGGAAGCGGAAUUCCCGGUGUAGUGGUGAAAUGCGUAGAUAUCGGGAGGAACACCAGUGGCGAAGGCGGCUUCCUGGUCUGCUCCUGACGCUAAGAGGCGAAAGCUAGGGGAGCGAACGGGAUUAGAAACCCCGGUAGUCCUAGCCGUAAACGAUGGAUGCUAGGUGUAGGUGGUCCUAACCCCAUCUGUGCCGAAGCUAACGCGUUAAGCAUCCCGCCUGGGGACUACGGCCGCAAGGUUAAAACUCAAAGGAAUUGACGGGGGCCCGCACAAGCAGCGGAGCGUGUGGUUUAAUUCGAUGCUACACGAAGAACCUUACCCAGGUUUGACAUGCAGGUAGUAGUGAAGCGAAA